AGUGAACGCUGGCGGUAGGCCUAACACAUGCAAGUCGAACGGCAGCACAGUAAGAGCUUGCUCUUACGGGUGGCGAGUGGCGGACGGGUGAGGAAUACAUCGGAAUCUACUUUUUCGUGGGGGAUAACGUAGGGAAACUUACGCUAAUACCGCAUACGACCUACGGGUGAAAGCAGUGGAUCUUCGGACCUUGCGCGAUUGAAUGAGCCGAUGUCGGAUUAGCUAGUUGGCGGGGUAAAGGCCCACCAAGGCGACGAUCCGUAGCUGGUCUGAGAGGAUGAUCAGCCACACUGGAACUGAGACACGGUCCAGACUACUACGGGAGGCAGCAGUGGGGAAUAUUGGACAAUGGGCGCAAGCCUGAUCCAGCCAUACCGCGUGGGUGAAGAAGGCCUUCGGGUUGUAAAGCCCUUUUGUUGGGAAAGAAAAGCAGCAGGUUAAUACCCCGCUGUUCUGACGGUACCCAAAGAAUAAGCACCGGCUAACUUCGUG
rnacentral:rRNA from 1 species